CGAGCCUUUAAAUGCGCUGCGUGGACUUUCUUUUCUGUUAUUUACACUCGGUUACGUUCACUUUCCUCGCGCCGAACCCGAGCAAUUAGGGCCAGCGCCGUCUCGCUCCUUCCAUCUUCACCGCGGAGCUGUCAAAGCCCCGGUCCCGCCCCUCCCUCUUCAUCCCGCCGCGCCACAGGCCCCGCCCCGCCGCGCUCUCCAUUGGCCGCGGCGCCGCCCGGGCCCCGCCCCCCGCGCGCGACACCAAUAAAGAGCGCGCCGCGCCGCGUCCAGCCCCCAGUCCGCACGCCGAACAGCCCCGCACGGGAGCGAGCCGACGUCUCUGCGGUGCAGAGCUGGACCGCCGCUCUUCUCCUCCCUCCCCUGUCGCCGCGGACGGACGCCGACACCCGUAGGUGCAUGCAGAAAAAGGCAAAAGGAGCAUUUCGCCAGCGAACCCCCCAGCCCCCCAGAUGCCCACUCAUCCUCCGAACAAUACGGCCGCCCUGGAUGGUCACUCUGUGUAACCUGAUCUCCCGGCAGCAGCGGCAGCAGCAGCAGCAGAGCAGAUUACAGAACAGAGAAAAGUAUCAAAGCCAGGGGAGACCGCAGAGGCAACUUUGCUCAUCAUUUUCCACGCCGCUCCUAUAGGAAGCACAAGGACGCCUUUGUGCCUCCCUUUUCCCAUGUCUCCCUGCAGCAGUCCACAGAUAGAUCAUUUCUGCGCGCCUCACUGUACGAAGGGCAAGUGCAUGCAUGCUGUUCCUGCUCACAAGCCAGAGAGGGAAAGAGAGAAAGAGACCAGUUAAUAAUGUGUUGGGUGUUUAGAAUCUCUCUCUCUCCCUCCUUCUCUCUCUCCUUCGUGCUCCUUCUCUAAUUUCUCCCUCUCUCCCUCAGCGGAGGAGCUGUGUCGCUCUCCAGGGAGCGGAGCUCCUUGAAGGUGAUCCAGAGCUGAGCUGCUGGGAUCUGAGUCUCCCGCAGGCCAGAGCGUCCGAGCUCCAAAUGCAGCUCCAUGCAUCGCUCGGCCAUGGGCCUGUGUCGGCCACCCUAGAGUGGCCGAGAGAGGUGUCAUUACUGUAAGUGCAGGCUAGC
ensembl:lncRNA